rnacentral:rRNA from 1 species
UACGUAGGGUGCAAGCGUUGUCCGGAAUUAUUGGGCGUAAAGAGCUCGUAGGCGGUCUGUCGCGUCUGCUGUGAAAACUCAGGGCUUAACCCUGAGCUUGCAGUGGGUACGGGCAGACUAGAGUGCGGUAGGGGAGACUGGAAUUCCUGGUGUAGCGGUGAAAUGCGCAGAUAUCAGGAAGAACACCAACGGCGAAGGCAGCUCGCUGGGACGGAACUGACGCUGGAGGCGCGGAAAGCCGUGGGGAGCGAACAGG